GGGUGAGUAAUACAUCGGAACGUGUCCAGUAGCGGGGGAUAACCUCUCGAGAGAGAGGCUAAUACCGCAUACGUCCUACGGGAGAAAGAGGGGGAUCGCAAGACCUCUCACUAUUGGAGCGGCCGAUGUCGGAUUAGCUAGUUGGCGGGGUAACGGCCCACCAAGGCUACGAUCCGUAGCUGGUCUGAGAGGACGACCAGCCACACUGGAACUGAGACACGGUCCAGACUCCUACGGGAGGCAGCAGUGGGGAAUUUUGGACAAUGGGCGCAAGCCUGAUCCAGCCAUGCCGCGUGGGUGAAGAAGGCCUUCGGGUUGUAAAGCCCUUUCGGCUGGGACG
rnacentral:rRNA from 1 species